rnacentral:rRNA from 1 species
AGCGAACGCUGGCGGCAGGCUUAAUACAUGCAAGUCGAACGCCUGUAGCAAUACAGGAGUGGCAGACGGGUGAGUAACGCGUGGGAACGUACCCUUCGGUUCGGAAUAACUCAGGGAAACUUGAGCUAAUACCGGAUACGUCCGUAAGGAGCAAGAUUUAUUGCCGAAGGAUCGGCCCGCGUCCGAUUAGCUAGUUGGUGGGGUAAUGGCCCACCAAGGCGACGAGCGGUAGCUGGUCUGAGAGGAUGAUCAGCCACACUGGGACUGAGACACGGCCCAGACUCCUACGGGAGGCAGCAGUAGGGAAUAUUGGACAAUGGGCGAAAGCCUGAUCCAGCCGUGCCGCGUGGGUGAUGAAGGCCUUAGGGUUGUAAAGCCCUUUCGGCGGGGAAGAUAAUGACGGUACCCGCAGAAGAAGCCCCGGCUAACUUCGUGCCAGCAGCCGCGGUAACAC